rnacentral:lncRNA from 1 species
GCGUAUUUGCGCGUGUUCGAGAGUAGCUAAAGCUAGAUGUAAAACAAAACUCAAGUUGUAAACAAAAGGGACUCCGACUAAAUAAAGGGGGCGCAGCCCCUGGAGUCCGGAGGAGGCGCCACAGCAGGAGGGGGGGCGCGCGCGACCAGGGGGAGGGCCGCGGCUCCCAACCCUAGGCACCCCACCUGGGCUGCCCUGUUGGGCCAUCUUCUUAUUCCGCUGGGCCUUCGUUCCUUAACAGCA